rnacentral:rRNA from 1 species
UACGUAGGUGGCAAGCGUUGUCCGGAAUUACUGGGCGUAAAGGGUUCGUAGGUGGCCUACUAAGUCAGACGUGAAAUCCCUCAGCUCAACUGGGGAACUGCGUCUGAGACUGGAAGGCUUGAGUGCAGGAGAGGAACGCGGAAUUCCAGGUGUAGCGGUGAAAUGCGUAGAUAUCUGGAGGAACACCGGUGGCGAAGGCGGCAUCCUGGACCAACACUGACACUGAGGAGCGAAAGCCAGGGGAGCAAACGGG